CCUACGGGAGGCUGCAGUGAGGAAUAUUGGUCAAUGGCCGGAAGGCUGAACCAGCCAAGCCGCGUGAAGGACGAAGGUGCCAAGCAUUGUAAACUUCUUUUGUCAAGGGACAAAAUCAGGCUCGAGAGCCUGACCGAGGGUACUUGAAGAAACAGCAUCGGCUAACUCCGGACCAGCAGCCGCGGUAAUACGGAGGAUGCGAGCGUUAUCCGGAUUUAUUGGGUUUAAAGGGUGCGUAGGCGGACUGUUAAGUUAGCGUGAAAAGCCAGGGGCUCAACCCCGGAGAGCCGUUGAAACUGGGUGGCUUGAGAUGUCGAGAGGUAUGCGGAAUGCGCAGUGUAGCGGUGAAAUGCUUAGAUAUUGCGCAGAACUCCGAUGGCGAAGGCAGCAUACCGGCGGCGAUCUGACGUUGAGGCACGAAAGCGUGGGUAUCGAACAGGAUUAGAUACCCGGGUAGUC
rnacentral:rRNA from 1 species